UACAGAGGUGGCAAGCGUUGUUCGGAAUUACUGGGCGUAAAGGGCGCGUAGGUGGCCUUCUUAGUCAGACGUGAAAUCCCCAGGCUUAACCUGGGAACUGCCUUUGAUACUGGCGAUCUUGAGUCCGGGAGAGGUGAGUGGAACUGCGAGUGUAGAGGUGAAAUGCGCAGAUAUCGGGAGGAACACCAAUGGCGAAGGCAGCUCGCUGGGACGGUACUGACGCUGAGGCGCGAAAGCGUGGGGAGCAAACAGG
rnacentral:rRNA from 1 species